rnacentral:lncRNA from 1 species
GGAAACCAUUCAUAUCUGGAGUCUCUGACAGACAAAUCUAAGGCUGAAGUGCAAUGGCAUGAUCUCGGCUUACUGCAACCUCCGCCUCCCGGGUUCAAGCAAUUCCCCUGCCUCAGCCUCCUGAGUAUCUGGGAUUACAGGCAUGCACCACCACGCCCGGCUAAUUAGGAGCUGCCGUUAUACUGUUCUGGGGGGUUGCGGUUUUUCUGGGACAACAAGUUUGACCAUGCAAUGGUGGCUUUCCUGGACUGUGUGCAGCAGUUCAAAGAAGAGGUUGAGAAAGGCGAGACACGUUUUUGUCUUCCCUACAGGAUGGAUGUGGAGAAAGGCAAGAUUGAAGACACAGGAGGCAGUGGCGGCUCCUAUUCCAUCAAAACCCAGUUUAACUCUGAGGAGCAGUGGACAAAAGCUCUCAAGUUCAUGCUGACGAAUCUUAAGUGGGGUCUUGCUUGGGUGUCCUCACAAUUUUAUAACAAAUGACUUUUUUCCUUAGGGGGAGGUUUGCCUUAAAGGCUUUUAAUUUU